rnacentral:snRNA from 1 species
GGCUGUGAGGGUGAUCUGGCUGGGACACCCAUCAUCCCACUGGUCGGCAGGGUGGAGGGGCCAAUCCAGGGGUCUAGGAGGGGUACCCUUCCUCCCUCGUUGUCCAUGUGCAUCCCUCCCGGAGCUGUGCCUUCUCAGCGAAAGAGGAUAAUAAUCCGCAAUGGAAAGGGACCAUUUCCUCCUUCAAAGGCGUAAAGUAUUCGCUCCCCUGCUGGGUGCAGCCUCCAAGGAGUUUUCAAGCGCUCACCCCACAGGGCACACUAACUCCCACCCUGCAGCACCUCCCAGGAGCGGAACUGCGGUACCUG